AUUUUCGUGUGGUAUGUACUGAAAUGCAAUCAGUAGGCUUUCAAUCUCAGUAGGUUCAACCAAUGAGUUAGAUUAGUACAUUUGCUACUUACAUGAAUAGUGGCACGACAAGUAGAUUAAUGUUCAAGCAAAUUAUAACGACCGUAUUAAUAUAACAACAAUAUUAAUAUAUUUAACGUAUAUUGAUAAUCACACAAGGGCAUGCUUAGGAGACCAAGAG